UACGUAGGGCGCAAGCGUUGUCCGGAAUUAUUGGGCGUAAAGAGCUCGUAGGCGGUCUGUCACGUCUGCCCGUGAAAACCCGAGGCUUAACCUCGUGGCUUGCGGUGGAUACGGGCAGACUAGAGGUAGGUAGGGGAGAACGAAUUCCCGGUGUAGCGGUGAAAUGCGCAGAUAUCGGGAGGAACACCGGUGGCGAAGGCGGUUCUCUGGGCCUUACCUGACGCUGAGGAGCGAAAGCAUGGGGAGCGAACAGG
rnacentral:rRNA from 1 species